AUAUUUAUAUCGCUAUAUCUUUUUUAUUUAUAAUAGGACGAUGAGGGAAUAAAAUCAUCGUGAUGCAAUCAAUUUCUGCUAAACAUCAUACUUUGUUAGAGACAGUAGGUGUCCUCUUAUAGCCGGGAGUAUAUAUAAACGCAGGUACGUGUAACAAAUUGAUUUUGGAUGUACAUAAAAUGACAAAUAUUGUAUGUAUGACAUAGAAUUAAAAUAGCAGUACUUCAUUAAAAACUAUUGACACACCUACGUUAAAGGAAUUUUCACCAACGGCACCACAACGAAAAGAUUAAAAAUGACAGCGAUAUAACCUUCAAUCUACAAUACGACGUAAUACCGUCCAGGAAAAUAAAGAGAAAUAGGGAAUCGAACUUUUUAGCACGUUAUGCUGAUACUGGUAAUGUAGUAAUAUCGUGACACAGAUCGUGAAUGGAAGUGUAUAGUACAUAAAAAGAUAGAGUUUUAGGUUAUGUCGAAUCGAGAUUAACGUUAGGUAUCACGUGAGCUGCUGUAUAAGGCGAUUAAUUACAGUAAAUCCUGCGAAGUACGCUAUUUCUUUAGGAAAUUGCAAACCUAGAUAGAAAUAGGCAGAGGCAAAGGAAUGCGAAAUUCCUCGAAGGAAGUCGUCGUAACACGAAUCGUGUGUAUUCUGCGUAAAAGUAGAUUUUACUCAAUGUACAUGCCGGGCAAAAGAGACGGGCAAAGAACUGGAAUGCUCAGAAUGUUAAUCGUUUAAUGGGAUAUAAUCGGUUAAUGGGAGUCUGCAUUCAACCGAAGCCUUCCAUACAAGCCGGAUGAUCGCGUUUCGACCCCUCGUGCGACUUCAUUUUUCAUCACGACAAUAAAGAUUAGCUUGUCGUUAAAGGUUCAAGGACAACGUUGCGCGGACCUUUCGGGUGAAAUCUCCGUCAAACCGAAGGUGGUAAAGUCGUCAGACUGUCAGACUUAUGAUGACUUUUAUCGACAAUAUUUACACACCCUGUACAUUAGAAAAACGACUUUGUAGACAUUCGUAUUUUCGCGGCGAUCAACUUCAACGCUUCGAUAACGGAACAGAAAGAAAGAAAGGAACGAAUUAAAAAUAAUUGAAAGAAAGAAAGAAGAAGGAGGAAGGCAAAGUUCACGGUUCGAGUGAUCGACGAGUUUCACCGUUCCGCUUUGUGUUCCCAUCCACUUCCGGGCUUUCAGAGGACGGGGAAAACAGAGCAGGAAGAUCUGUCUUCGUAUCAAGAUUUAAAAUUCUGUCUGGCGCUUUACAAGAAGACAGUCAAUACGAAGGUAUUACAGGGAACAGAGGGAGAUAUAGGAAAAAGAAUAAUGGAGUAUGCACAGGGGAUCUACCGGUAGUUUUCUAUUUCUUUCCUCGUUGAAACGUUACUUCUACAGUAUCGUUGAGGAACGGUAUCGGUUCUAACUACUCUUCACUGAUCCAUCGAGCCUUUACAGAAGUAAGUUUUAUUUUAAAACAGGAUAGAUAGCUAGGUACAUGCUAAUUACGAAGGAGAAGUUAAAUAACGUGAUGUAACAGAAUAAAAUAGCAAUGUAAUAUGUGCAGUCGAUGUUAAAACGAGUCUUUGCAGCGUUCCUUUUUUGGAAUUUAUUAUAUUUUAAUAUUUUUUUUAUUGAGAAUAUUUUCCUUGAAUUUUAUAAAGACGUUUUCGUUUUCAGUAAGUUUCUGGAAAUGAUUUAUGAUCACCGACAAUGGUUUGUCUGAGGUCGGACACUCGAAUAAGCUACUUUAAGUAGAAUGUUACCGCACAGUCGCACAAACCUACUCUAUUUCUGUGCCACAACACUGACUGUAUUCUAGACAAGCUGCUUUGUGAAAUUGCCUUUUAAAAUCUUAUAUGUACUUAGUAAAGAGAGUAUUUUAUACCAUUUUAUUACCUUAGUAACUUAUUACAUGCAAAUUGAUUUGGAUUAGAACAAUUAUGUUGGUGUAUGUGGUAACAGAGGCGAUGCAAAAGAACAUUUCCGACUCUGCUCGAAUGCGUUCCAAGUAGGUUGGCAAGUGUACCGGGGCACGCUGGCUUUUGACCCACUUUGAGCUUCGCAAGCUCUCCUAACCUUAAAACAAGCACUGCUAUUCCAGUCUAUACUGCUUCUAAUACGUUACAUGUUACUUGACUGCAGUUUCAGCAUGCUGCAUGCGAGGCCUGUCAAAUUACUAAGGAGGAAGUUUUAAUUCUCUUCGAUCAUCAUUUUCGAUAGAACUAACUUUUCGAUUGAAUAACGAGGUUCUUUCGGCCUGUAAUAGUCCAAAGGCUGCUGGAACAAGGCCUCUAAAUCGAUCAUGAUUCCAAUACAUUAUAAAUUCUUGGAUUUGAAACCUUAGGCGAAGAAGAUAUAGCUAAGUUACAGAUUAGGUUAUGAAUUGAUAACUGCAAUUGUAUAAACUAUAGUCUAAUAAACAUGCACAUAUGUAUACAUACAUACAUACAUACAUAUAUA